GUCUCAAUAGCUCAGCUGGAUAGAGCAACGCCCUUCUAAGGCGUCGGUCGGGGGUUCGAAUCCCUCUUGGGACA
rnacentral:tRNA from 3 species